rnacentral:rRNA from 1 species
AAGCCAUGCGAGUCGAGAGGGUUCGGCCCUCGGCGUACUACUCAGUAACACGUGGAUAACCUGCCCUAAGGAAGGGGAUAACCUCGGGAAACUGAGGAUAAUACCCUAUAGGUUACAGAUGCUGGAAUGCCCUGUAACCGAAAGCUCCGGCGCCUUAGGAUGGAUCUGCGGCCGAUUAGGUUGUUGUUGGGGUAACGGCCCAACAAGCCGAUAAUCGGUACGGGUUGUGGGAGCAAGAGCCCGGAGUUGGAUUCUGAGACACGAAUCCAGGCCCUACGGGGCGCAGCAGGCGCGAAAACUUUACAAUGCGGGAAACCGUGAUAAGGGAACCCCGAGUGCCUGUAUAUGCAGGCUGUCCAGGUGUCUAAAAAACACCUGAAGAAAGGGCCGGGCAAGACCGGUGCCAGCCGCCGCGGUAAUACCGGCGGCUCGAGUGGUGGCCACUUUUAUUGGGCUUAAAGCGUUCGUAGCUGGGUUGUUAAGUCUCUUGGGAAAUCUGACGGCUUAACCGUCAGGCGUCUAAGAGAUACUGGCAAUCUUGGAACCGGGAGAGGUGAGGGGUACUUCGGGGGUAGGAGUGAAAUCCUGUAAUCCUCGAGGGACCACCUGUGGCGAAGGCGCCUCACCAGAACGGCUUCGACAGUGAGGGACGAAAGCUGGGGGAGCAAACCGGAUUAGAUACCCGGGUAGUCCCAGCCGUAAACGAUGCGCGUUAGGUGUAUCGGUGACCACGAGUCACCGAGGUGCCGAAGGGAAACUGUGAAACGUGCCGCCUGGGAAGUACGGUCGCAAGGCUGAAACUUAAAGGAAUUGGCGGGAA